rnacentral:rRNA from 1 species
UUAAGCAAAAAAGGGCGCGGGGCGGAUGCCUUGGCACCAGGGGCCGACGAAAGACGUGGUAAGCUGCGAAAAGCUGCGGGGAGCUGCAAACAGGCAUAGAUCCGCAGAUAUCUGAAUGGGGAAACCCGGUGGAGAAUACCUCCAUCACCAUAUGCUGAAUCCAUAGGCAUAUGGAGGGAACCCGGCGAACUGAAACAUCUAAGUAGCCGGAGGAAAAGAAAGAAACAUCGAUUCCGGAAGUAGCGGCGAGCGAAACCGGAGAAGCCCAAACCACUGUGCGAGCAUGGUGGGGUAAGGACUGCAUAAGCGACCGUAAUGACAGCCAAAAGGCCCUGGAAAGGCCUGCCGGAGAGGGUGAAAGCCCCGUAGGCGAAAUCAGUAAGGCGCGGCAGUAUCCGGAGUACCACGGGACACGAGAAACCCUGUGGGAAUAAGCGGGGACCACCCCGUAAGGCUAAAUACCCACUGGUGACCGAUAGAGCAGAGUACUGUGAAGGAAAGGUGAAAAGGACCCCGUGAGGGGAGUGAAAGAGAACCUGAAACCCCGCGUCUACAAGCUGUGGGACACCCGUAAGAGGUGAACCGCGUACUUUUUGUAGAACGGUCCGGCGAGCUGCGAGCAGAGGCAAGGUUAAGCGGUUAAGCCGCGGAGCCGAAGGGAAACCGAGUGUUAAUAGCACAUAGAGUCACUGCUUACAGGCCCGAAACCGGGUGAUCUACCCAUGUCCAGGAUGAAGCUGCCGUAAAAGGCAGUGGAGGUCCGAACGCACAUCCGUUGAAAAGGGUGGCGAUGAGGUGUGGGUAGGGGAGAAAUUCCAAUCGAACCCGGAGAUAGCUGGUUCUCCCCGAAAUAGCUUUAGGGCUAGCCCCGGUUAUACCUGCCGGAGGUAGAGCACUGGAUUUCCGCGGGGGCGUCAAAGCCUACCAAAGAAUACCAAACUCCGAAUGCCGGAAAGGAUAAGACCGGGAGUCAGGCUGCACGAGAUAAGUUGGGCAGCCAAAAGGGAAAGAGCCCAGACCCGCGGCUAAGGCCCCCAAGUACGUGUUAAGUGGAAAAGGAUGUGGGAUUCCGAAGACAGCCAGGAUGUUGGCUCAGAAGCAGCCAUACAUUCAAAGAGUGCGUAACAGCUCACUGGCCGAGGGGUCCUGCGCCGAAAAUGUCCGGGGCUGAAACACGACGCCGAAGCCCGGGAUCAAAGAGGCGGCCAAGGCCCCUCUUGAUGGUAGGGGAGCAUCGCCGGUGCAAAGAAGCCGUACCGAAAGGAGCGGUGGAGUACCGGGGAGAGAGAAUGCCGGAAUGAGUAGCGAGAUGGAGGUGGGAAUCCUCCAGGCCGGAUGUCCAAGGUUUCCAGGGUAAAGCUGAUCUGCCCUGGGUGAGUCGGGGCCUAAGGCGAGGCUGAAAAGCGUAGCCGAUGGAUAACAGGUAGAGAUUCCUGUACUGCCUUAUAACAGAAGAUGCGGGGACGCGUUGGCAAAGUGUGAGCCGGGAAAGGAAAAACCGGUGCAAGGACGAGAGGCGUCGGAGGGGAAAGUCCCUUCCGGCAGCAAGCCGGCCGUCUGAUGCAUAGCGAAAAAGAGUAGCGAAACACAUGGAGCGGGCGCCGAGAAAAGCCGCUAUUGUUUGUAAGGUACCCGUACCGAAGACCGACACAGGUGGACAGGGAGAGGAUCCCAAGGCCGGCGGGCGAAGCACUGCCAAGGAACUCGGCAAAAUGGCCCCGUAACUUCGGGAGAAGGGGCGCCCCCGUGAGGGGGCCGCAGAGAAUAGGCCCAAGCAACUGUUUAGCAAAAACACAGGUCUGUGCAAAACCGCAAGGUGAAGUAUACGGGCUGACGCCUGCCCGGUGCUGGAAGGUUAAGGGGAGGGGUAAGCGGGAAACCGCGAAGCUCCGAGCCUAAGCCCCAGUAAACGGCGGCCGUAACUAUAACGGUCCUAAGGUAGCGAAAUUCAUUGUCGGGCAAGUUCCGACCCGCACGAAAGGCGUAAUGAUUUGGGCGCUGUCUCGGCAGUGCACCCGGUGAAAUUGAAGUGCCAGUGAAGAUGCUGGCUACCUGCGCCAGGAC